rnacentral:rRNA from 1 species
AGUGAACGCUGGCGGUAGGCCUAACACAUGCAAGUCGAACGGCAGCACAGAGGAGCUUGCUCCUUGGGUGGUGAGUGGCGGACGGGUGAGGAAUACAUCGGAAUCUACUCUGUCGUGGGGGAUAACGUAGGGAAACUUACGCUAAUACCGCAUACGACCUACGGGUGAAAGCAGGGGACCUUCGGGCCUUGCGCGAUUGAAUGAGCCGAUGUCGGAUUAGCUAGUUGGCGGGGUAAUGGCCCACCAAGGCGACGAUCCGUAGCUGGUCUGAGAGGAUGAUCAGCCACACUGGAACUGAGACACGGUCCAGACUCCUACGGGAGGCAACAGUGGGGAAUAUUGGACAAUGGGCGCAAGCCUGAUCCAGCCAUACCGCGUGGGUGAAGAAGGCCUUCGGGUUGUAAAGCCCUUUUGUUGGGAAAGAAAUCCAGCUGGCUAAUACCCGGUUGGGAUGACGGUACCCAAAGAAUAAGCACCGGCUAACCUCGUGCCAGCCGCCGCCGUAA